rnacentral:lncRNA from 1 species
GGGAACGACCAGGAAGGGAAAAACCCUUCUUCUUGCCCUAGCUCCUCAAACCACAAGCAAUUGAAUAAGUUUCUGGCCCUAAUUCGAAUGCAUGUCAGCGAAUUCUCAACUAUCUAAGAGUUCCCUACAUAGGGAAUCAUGUCAAAAUGGUUGAGAGCAUGGAAGGCUAACGGGCUAAGAAGACUCAAGUAAAACAAACGCAAAUACGGACGCACAAGGUAAAUCUAUUGCUUGACGCGGCGCACCCGGACCGAGCACACACGACGUUGACCUUAAUACGCUUCCGUUUCAAGUUGUUUCUUUUGAAUGGGUCGAAACGUCCUUUUGUGUAGUAAAUGUUAAACUAGUUAUUAGGAUGAUGGUAGUAGUUU